rnacentral:rRNA from 1 species
AAUGCCAACAAUGGAUGCCUAGGAGGUUUUGGCCGAAGAAGGACGCACAUGACGGCGAUACUCGUCGGGAAGGUGUCAUAAACCUGUGAUCCGGCGGUUUCCGAAUGGGGUAACCCACUCUGUUUACAGAGUAGCCUAUCAUAAAAUUUUCAAUUUAUUGAGAUAUAGUGUUAGGCGGGGCACGGCGCGAACUGAAACAUCUAAGUAGCGCCAGGAAUAUAAAUCAUCUGAGAUUCCCUUAGUAGCGGCGAGCGAAAAGGGAGCAGUCUAAACCUCUUGUAUUCUGCAUUGGAAUAGUCAAAUAUCAAAAUCAAAUUUUUAAACAUCAAUAAUAUUUGAAGUUGAUAUGAUUGGUUAUUCUUAUGCAGGAUGCGAGAGGGGUUGCAGGGCAGACGAUAUUUGAGUAUUUUCGAUAAUAGAAGGAUUUGGAAUAUUUCCCCAGAGAGAGUGAGAGGCUCGUAUAUAAAAUCGAAAAUACCGAUAGUUUGUACCUAAGUACCACGGGACACGAGAAAUCCUGUGGGAAUCCGGGGCGACCACGCUCCAAGACUAAAUACCAAGACCUACCGAUAGUGAACUAGUACCGUGAGGGAAAGGUGAAAAGAACCCCGGGAGGGGAGUGAAAUAGAACUGAAAUUGUUGGCUGACAAGCAGACAGAGCCUCGCAAGGGGUAAUGUCGUGCCUAUUGAAGAAUGAACCGGUGAGUUAUUCUAUACUCUUUGUCUAACCAAGUUUCUUGGGGAGGCGUAGUGAAAGCGUGCUCUAACUGAGCUAAAUACAAGAGUAUGGAAUAGACCCGAAACCGGGUGAGCUAACCUUGGGCAGGGUGAACCUUGGCGAAAGCCAAGGGGAGGCCCGAACUCGUAUCCGUAGCAAUGGGUUGAGAUGACCUGAGGUUAGGGGCAAUAUGCCUAACGAACCCGGAGAUAGCUGGUUCUCCCCGAAAUAUAUUUUGGUAUAGCGCUAUGUAAUUGCACAGUGGGGUAGAGCACUGAAUGGUUAGUGGCGGCGCAAGUUGUUGCAAUCAAUCAAACUCCGAAUACAUUUGUGUUUAUCGUAGUAGUCAGACCUGUCGGGCUAAGCCGAUGAGUCAAAAGGGAAACAGCCCAGACUCUCGUCUAAGGCCUCUAAAUAAAGGCUAAGUUUUUAAGGAAGUCACAAUCCAGAGACAACCAGGAGGUUGGCUUAGAAGCAGCCAUCCUUUAAAGAAAGCGUAACAGCUCACUGGCGGAUGGUUUGUGGCGCCGAAAAUGUAUCGAGGAUUAAGCCUUUUGCCGAAGACAGAGACUCUUGUGCAUGGCACAAGAAUAGUCAAAUAUCAAAUAUCAGAUAUUUAUAAUUUUGGAUACUGACAGUAUUUGAAAAUUGAUAAGAUUGGUUAUUCUCGUGCUGUGCACGAGUUUGGUAGGGGAGCGUUCUUAGUGCAGCGAAGCUAUACUGUAAGGUGUGGUGGAGCGCUAAGAAGUGAGAAUGCCGGUAUGAGUAGCGCAAGUCCGAUGGGAUAUCGGACCGCCGAAAGCCCGAGGUUUCCUCCGCAAUGUACAUCAGCGGAGGGUUAGUCGGCCCUAAGGGUGUCCCGUGUAAGCGGGGUAGCCCGAUGGACAAGUCGUUUAUAUUCGACUACAGUAUGUGAUCUAUUCCAAGGGGAUGACGAAGUAGGAAGUCUCAAGCUCGUUUUAACGAGUCUAAGCAGUAAGAUAGUGGCGAUAGGCAAAUCCGUCGCUGCGUUUAAUCAAGCUGUUAUGGAAAGAUUGUCGCAAGACAAUUAAUUUGAAAACUUUCUGUUUCCAAGAAAAUUCUCAUUGGGUCCGUAAGGACAAAAUCAUAUAUUUCCGUACCGCAAACCGACACAGGUGGGCUGGUCGAGAAGACUAAGGCGAACGGGAGACAGAGGAUCAAGGAACUCGGCAAAAAAGCUAGGCGUAACCUAUGGGAGAUGCCUUUCCUGAGAAUCGCAAGAUUUUUGGGGCGAAGCGAAAGUUUAUUUAGCAACUGUUUAUCUAAAACACAGGUCCCUGCAAAGCUGAAAAGCGACGUAUAGGGGCUGACACCUGCCCAGUGCCGGUAAGUUAAAGAUUGUAGGUGACCCGACUUGUUCGGUCAGCUUGUGAUCUAAGCUCCGGUGAACGGCAGCAGUAACUAUAACUGUUCUAUGGUAGCGAAGUUCCUUGUCGGGCGAGUUCCGACCCGCACGAAAGGUAGAAUGACUAAAUAACUGUCUUGAUCCUUUACCCGGCGAAAUUGAGUUGGCUGUGAAGACGCGGCCUAGUUGUCCAUGGACAAAAAGACCCCGGGAGCUUUACUGUAGCUUGGCAUUUGAGGGUUUAUAUUACAUGUUUAGAAUAGGAGGGAGCUUCGGCGACCGUGAAAUACCUCUCUUUAAUGUGAAUUCUCAUCACCUUUAUGCCGCAUAAAAAAGCGGCAAAGGAACAGUGUCUGGCGGGCAGUUUAACUGGGGCGGUUGACUCCUAAAAUGCAACGGAGUUGUACAAAGGUUGGUUAGCCUUGGAAGGAAAUCAAGGCGAUAGCGCAAACGCAUAAACCAGCUUGACUGCGAGACCUACAAGUCGAGCAGGGACGAAAGUCGGUGUUAGUGAUCCUCUGUGUCAUAGUGGUAUGCGCAGAGCUUAACGGAUAUAAGCUACCCCGGGGAUAC